GGCAGCGGUGGCCUAGUGGUUAGAGCAUCCGCCCUGGAUGCGGAAGGUCGCGGGUUCGAACCUCGUCCGAGUCA